rnacentral:lncRNA from 1 species
AUUUUGACUAGAUUAAGUUAAAUAAGAUUCAUCUGCUUAAGCCCCUUGUGCUACUUAACAUGCCAAUCUUUGUUCCCGUAUUUUUGCCCAAUCCACUUGGGAUAGUGGUGUAAAUCGAGACAUGUCAGCUAAGUAUGAUGCCACUACUUAAGCCCAUCAUACUACUGAAGAAACUAAUUCUUUUUGCUCAGGAUUUUGCUCAUUCAGAGCAAUCCAGUAUGGGCUUCCCCUAGGGUUAUAGAACCCCUCCAGACAAGACACAAGGGGAGGAGCUCUUUUUUUUUGGCACUAUUUUAUGAGAGAUGCUCCUUAAACGGACCCAAAAACAGGGGGCCUAUUCAAGGAGUUUUUUGCUAUUUUAUUUACAUGGGGCCCACUCCCAUGUGAGACUUCUGUAUUAUUUUGUAAAUUCCAGAUCUGUACAAAUGGAAUAAUACAAUAAAAAUUGGCCAAAAAGAUUUGCCUCUUUGCACUUCAGAGAGUUGCAAAGACUUCAAUGUUUGUUUUAUUUUUUUUUUCAAAAGAGGCCUGCAGAGGCCAAACUGGGCAGGUCCUGGGACUAGACUUCCAUGGUCAUAACUAAUGUGUAACCGUCUCCUUUAGACCGCAGAACCAGC